rnacentral:lncRNA from 1 species
AGUGGUACAUAACUCCACUCAGGACCCUUUUGUCCUACAACUUCUUAAGGAAAUAAACAAGUUGAAGGCCAAACGACAAGCUGAGAUACCUGAUUGGAACCAACCUAGGCCUGUCCCUCUUACAAGGAGGAUCCUCGACACCCCCAUCCAAGCAAAGACAAAACAGAAGCUUGGCUUGCAACUCUAUUCUGGAAAAGAGGACCCGAUUGAACACUUUAACCUCUUUGAGUCCACCAUGGCAUACCAGAUGCACACCAACGAAGAGCGAUGUCUUCUCUUCCCCUCCACCCUCUCUGGCGGAGCUUUAAACUGGUAUUGUCGUCUUCCACCUGAGACAAUAAACUCAUUUGAGGAAUUGAGGAAACUGUUUGUUUCUCAACACAUUUUCCAGACCCAUCGCUUGCACUCUGCAGAUAACUUGUACACUAUUCACCAGAAGCCAGAUGAGUCAUUACGUAUGUAUGAUGGCCGCUUCAGCCAUGAGUAUUCUCGCUGCGCUGAGGCAGAUGAUAAGACCGCCCUCAAGGCCUUCACGGCAGGCCUACGUGAUUGUUUCUUCAAGUACAUAAUCAAUGCCAACACUUGGAAGACUUACUCUGAGGUGAUGGCAUAGGCUUACAACCAUGCCUCCGCCGAGGUAAAGACAUAUCAAGGGAAACACCCCACAACCACCCAUUAUCACCAAGUAGGGAGUGGAAGCCAGAUCCAACCAAAUGAGAAGACAUCGACCUUCCAAAUGGCAGCGGUGCCUCCCCUUGCCUUACUUAAUAUUUUGCCAAGUCAACAGACAUAUCAAUCUCAGGGCAAAAGGAAAGAUUUUCAUCCUCACCAGUCUCAUUUUAGUAAAAGGAGUAAGGGACAUUAUCGCGGUAACCAAGGGUAUCGCCAUGAUAAUCCCCGACCCCAGGCAGUCAACACAGUGGGUCAAGUACGCGUCAGGACAGCCCCUACCCCGAGGUAUGAGACAUACACACCUUUGAAAGCCACAUGCGUGGCCAUUUACCCCUUGGCCAUUUACCCCAGCAUAGCAUACCUGAUACCAAAGCCAAAGCCGAGGCACCCGGAUUACAAGCCCACGAAAAACACAGGCACGUUUUGCUGCUACCACGAGCAUAACGGCCAUGACGGUGAGAAGUGUAUCACCUUUCGUGAUCAUAUUAAAGCUUUGGCACGUGAAGGAAAAAUUGAUCAAUUCCUCAUUCACCCUCCAAGGAGUAACCGUAACCAACGCCAGGUGAAUGUGAUAUAUUCCAUAAGUGGUGGCACACUCAUAUCUAAAUCAUCCAACAGGGCCAUGAAAAAUAAUGAAUGAACUUUAAAGUCUGGCCACCAAGUGUUUCACGUGGAAGACAUCAGGGGAGGUAAGUAUCAAAAGUCUAACUAGGAUCCAAUAGGUUUCUACCUUGAGGAAGAAAAAGGUAUCAUCUACCCUCACAACGACCCACUGAUCGUGGAAACUCACAUAGCCAACUUUGAAGUACGACGAAUCCUGGUAGACACGGGGGCUUUGGUCAAUAUCAUGUCUGCUGAAGCUUUCAGGGCACUUAAUGUAGCUGAACACUUGCUCGAUCGCUCGAUUUCCCCUCUGAUAAGCUUCUCCGGUGAUAUCGUGCAACAUUUGGGAAGCAUACAUUUACCUUUCACUAUUGGUACAUGCCCUUACACAGCUACCAUUACCACUAACUUCUUGGUGGUUGAUUGCCCAAUGGCAUACAAUGUCAUCUUCGGACGCUCAGGCAUCAAUGAUUUCAAGGUCAUGGUAUCCACACAUAUGUUGUUGAUGAAAGUGCCAACCCCCUAUGGCAAUGGUUACAUCCCUAUGGCAAUGGUUACAUCAGAGGAGAUCAACCUAGUGCACGAUCAUGUUACAACACUUCGAUCAAGCAACAGCAACUGCAUGUGCCCAAGGAAACCCUUUCUAUACAUGACCAACUCAUAAAGACCAGCCCAGACGAAGCCAACUUGGAUCUUCACAGUGGCAACAGUCAACCCGACGAUCCUCGAGAUGACUCUUUCACUCGACAAGCACAACCCGCUAAAGAGUUGGAGAAGGUCUCUAUCUCAAAAGAUUAUCCAAAUCGCAUGGUGAAGAUUGGCACCACCUUGUCACCACCCAUUCGGUUAUCAUUGAUCUCUUUUUUGAAAGAGAACACUGAGGUCUUCGCCUGGUCAUAUGAGGACAUGCCAAGCAUCUCUCUCGAUAUCAUCUAUCAUCGCUUAAGUAUUGACCCCAAGACCAAGCCAGUGAGACAGAAGCGAAGAUCUUAUGACGUUGAACGGUACGAGGCAAUGAAGGCAGAAGUUGAAAAACUCAAAGGCAUAGGCUUCGUCUGCGAAGUAAAUUAUCCAACGUGGAUAGCAAAUGUUGUCCUUGUUAAGAAGAAUCCAACCAAGGAAAGUCUCCUGCUCCAAAAGGUCUUGUGGAGAAUGUGUGUCGAUUACACUGACCUAAACAAAGGAUGCCCGAAAGAUAGCUUUCCUCUUCCCCUCAUAGACAAACUUAUAGACUCUAUGGCAGGGUGUGAACUCCUGAGCUUCAUGGAUGCUUACUCAAGAUACAACCAAAUCCUCAUGAACCCUUCGGACCAAGAACACACAGCCUUCACAACUAACAGGGGACUAUAUAGCUAUAAAGUCAUGCCCUUCAGCCUAAAGAAUGCAGGAGCAACUUACCAGAAACUGGUCAAUUCAAUGUUCGCCGAACAGAUUGGGAAGAGCAUGGAAGUUUAUGUUGAUGAUAUGCUAGUCAAGAGCAAACAUGCUGACCAACACAUCACCAACCUAUAUGAAACUUUCACCAUUCUGAAGAGGUAUCGAAUGAGGUUGAACCCCAACAAAUGUGUCUUCGGCGUAGGCUCUGGCAAAUUAUUAGGUUUCAUGAUAAGCUAACGAGGCAUUGAGGCUAAUCCUGAAAAGAUCAAAGCAAUCCUCGACAUGAAGGAACCGGUAACUUCAAAAGACAUCCAGAGCCUUACUGGCAAGGUGGCAGCCUUAACUAGGUUCAUCUCUAAGGCCACAGACAGAUGUGCUCAUUUCUUCAAAGCACUUAAAGGAAGUAAGAAGUACAUUACAUGGACUGAUAAAUGUGCUAAGGCAUUCAAGAACCUCAAAGACUACAUGAGUAAAGCCUCUCUGCUCUCCAAACCUGAGGUUGGUGACACUCUUAUUAUCUAUCUGUCGGUAUCGGCUUCAGCAGUAAGUUCCGCUCUUAUUUGAAAUGAUGGUAAUGUCGAACGACAUGUCUACUAUGCUAGCAAGGCCUUACAAGAUGCGGAGACACGAUACUCCAACAUUGAGAAAUUGGCUCUAGCAUUGGUCAUGUCUACUCCAAAACUUCGCCCUUACUUCCAAGCACACUUCAUCAUCGUGCUUACCAACCAUCUUUUUCAACAGAUACUCCAAAGUCCUGACACUUCAGGGCGAAUGGUCAAAUGGGCGAUAGCAUUAAGUGAGUUUGACAUCUCAUACCAACCAAAGCCAGCUGAGAAGGGCCAAGCAGUGGCAGACUUCAUCGCCGAUUUCACAUAUCCUAUUGACAUUGUUUCUACACCUAAAGAAGUGGUUUCAUUACCCUCGGAAGCUUAGAAAAUAGAACCAAUAGCCCCAGCAUGGAGUCUAUAUGUUGAUGGCUAAUCCAACCAACAGGGUUGUGAAGCAGGACUAGUCCUUACGAUCCCUAAUAAAGUGGCGAUGAAGUAUGCUCUUCAUUUCAAAUUUAAGGCGUCAAACAAUGAGGAUGAAUAUGAAGCCUUCUUAGCAGGCUUACGUUUAGCCAAACACCUUGGGGUUAAAUGAAUUGAUAUCUUCAGUGACUCUUUGGUGGUUAAUCAGGUCACCAACAACUUUGACGCUAAGGAUAGCUCCAUAGUAGCAUAUCUGGCACAAACACAAUUGUUGCUCCAACACUUCCACUACCAGAUCACCCAAAUUCCUCGAGCGGCAAACAGUCAUACAGAUGUUUUGGCUCGCCUCGCCUCAGUGAUGGAAGACAAGAUUGAGAGAAAAAUUCAGGUCAAAUUGUUGGCAACACCAAGCACUAUGGCUGCGGAAAUGUGCAACUUUACAACAGGGGGAUAUUUGGAUUACCCCGAUUUAUAGAUUAUUUGCUCAUGACACUCUUCCAAAUGACAAAGUCCAAGCUAAGCAGAUUCGAUACAAGGCUACCCGUUACUUGAUCAUUAAUGACCAACUCUACAAACGGGGUUUUAACCUACCAUACCUAAGAUGCCUUACGCCUGCAGAGGCGGAAACUGUCAUUCGGGAAAUACAUGAAGGAGUCUGCAGAGAUCAUGCUAGAUCUCGAUCCCUAGCACACAAGACUUUUCGUCAAGGAUAUUACUGGUCAACACUCCACCAAGAUGCCAUCAAAAUAUCCUGCUCAUGUGAUAAGUGUCAACACUACGCAACUAUUCCUCACUCCCCUCCUGAGCCGCUCACUCCUAUAAUCAGCCAUUGGCCCUUCGCCCAAUGGAGACUUGAUUAGAUCGACCUAAUGCCUGUAGGGAAGGGCAAGGUUCGCUAUGCAAUCAUUGCAGUUGACUACUUCACAAAGUAGGCCGAAGUAUAACCCUUGGCAACCAUUACUGAGGUAAAAAUAGAAGACUUCGUAUAGAAGAACAUCCUUUGCAGAUUUGGCAUUCCCAAUGCGAUAGUCACUGACAACGGGCGACAGUUCGACAAUAAUAAGUUCAGGAUGUUUUACUCUAAGUUCAACAUCAACUUAUGUUUUGCCUCCCCAGCUCAUCCCCAGUCUAAUGGAUAAGUUGAAGCCAUCAACAAAAUAAUCAAGCGAACUUUGAAAACCAGCUUGGACAAGGCUAAAGGUUGUUGGCCAGAAUUUGUACCCUAAGUUCUUUGGUCAUACCGCACUUCGUAUUGAACAUCAACAGGAGAAACCCCAUUCUUACUUGCCUUUGGUACAAAGGCAGUUGUCCCAGUUGAGCUUGAGCAAGCAACGUUCCGAGUCCAGAACUACGUGCAAAGUGAAAAUGACAAACAACUUAACCUCAACUUAGAUCUAGUCGAGGAACACAGAAACCAGGCUCACUUGAGGAAUGUCGCUUACAAGCAGCGCAUCUCCAACUACUAUAACUCAAAGGUCAAACCUCGUUAUUUCAAAGUGGGGGACUGGGUAUUGAAGAAAAGAUUACUCUGUGACAGAGUCCCGAGUGAAUGAACACUUAGUCCAAAACUGGGAUAGANACCGCCCUCAAGGCCUUCACGGCAGCCUACGUGAUUGUUUCUUCAAGUACAUAAUCAAUGCCAACACUUGGAAGACUUACUCUGAGUGAUGGCAUAGGCUUACAACCAUGCCUCCGCCGAGGUAAAGACAUAUCAGGGAAACACCCCACAACCACCCAUUAUCACCAAGUAGGGAGUGGAAGCCAGAUCCAACCAAAUGAGAAGACAUCGACCUUCCAAAUGGCAGCGGUGCCUCCCCUUGCCUUACUUAAU